AUUGAACGCUGGCGGCAGGCCUAACACAUGCAAGUCGAACGGUAGCACAGAGAGCUUGCUCUCGGGUGACGAGUGGCGGACGGGUGAGUAAUGUCUGGGAAACUGCCUGAUGGAGGGGGAUAACUACUGGAAACGGUAGCUAAUACCGCAUAACGUCGCAAGACCAAAGAGGGGGACCUUCGGGCCUCUUGCCAUCAGAUGUGCCCAGAUGGGAUUAGCUAGUAGGCGGGGUAAUGGCCCACCUAGGCGACGAUCCCUAGCUGGUCUGAGAGGAUGACCAGCCACACUGGAACUGAGACACGGUCCAGACUCCUACGGGAGGCAGCAGUGGGGAAUAUUGCACAAUGGGCGCAAGCCUGAUGCAGCCAUGCCGCGUGUGUGAAGAAGGCCUUCGGGUUGUAAAGCACUUUCAGCGGGGAGGAAGCGGUACGGUUAAUAACCGUGCNGAUUGACGUUACCCGCAGAAGAAGCACCGGCUAACUCCGUGCCA
rnacentral:rRNA from 1 species